rnacentral:lncRNA from 1 species
UGGGGGUUUUAAUCAAAGACUUAUAAUCAAUUAUAUACAGAGGACCUAGAAAACAGAUCAAAUAAUUUGGGGGACAAUAAAUACACAUCACUCAGAAAAACCACCUGAUAGAUAGGACUUGUGUUCAGCAAUAUCUGAUUCUCCUUUUCUUCAGGGCACAGAGAAGACUAAAGUUCUUAGCACCUUGUAAUAUGUUGGGGCCAUAAGACAAAUUACAGCCAAUAAGUUGCAAGGAGAAGAAGGGGAAGUGAUGUGUCUCAUUGUCUUGCUAAAGAAUCUAAUUUUAGUGUAGGACUCUAGCAUUUUCUUCCAGCCUCAUUAGUUAAGGAGGCCAUAAGUGCUAAAUGGUGAAACUUUAGGAUAAUGGAGCUUUCAUUAGCCUAGACAUCUUACUACGUAGAGAACAGUUUCCCCAAAACCCUGUACAGAGGGAAACUUUUUUUGUUUGUUUGUUUAAUCACAAAGAUUUGGAGGUUAUUUAUUACCAUGACAUAACUUAGCCUAUCCUUACUAAUUUAUCGUCUAUUUGAAUUAAUUUUAUCAAGUUAAAAAGAAUUUGGGAUCUUUAUGAACUGUGAGGACACCCCAAAACAAAGGGUCCAUGUGAUUUAUAUUCAGCUUUUUAAAUAAUAACUCCCAGGAGAUCAAAAGGCAUUCUUACUUUUGUUUAUUCUUCUUAUGUGAAGCAUAUGCUAAUCUUUCCUAUUCUCAGUAAUCUUUCAAUGUGAAAUUCGAGAGACUUUAGUCUGGUUGCUUUAUCUUCUGCUAUUCUUUUUUAAAAAAAUGUAUUGUAUUUAAAAUGAUUUUAAAGACUUUGUUAAAGAGAAGUUCUAGAUUUACAAUAACAAUGAGAGGAAAGCAGAGAUUUCUCAUGUAUCCACUGCCCCUACACAUGCAUAGCCUCCCCUACUAGCAACACCUCUCAAGAGAAAGGUACAUUUUUUUUACCAAGGAUGAACCUACAUUGACAUACCAUAAUCACCCCAAAUCCAUUGGGUACCUUGGAGUUCACUCUUGAUGUUGUACAUUCCAUGGAUUUGGACAAAUUGCGUCAUGACACAUAUCCAUCAUUAGAAUAACAUACACCGUAUUUUCACUGCCCUAAAAAUUCUCUGUGUUCUAUUUCAUCUCUCCUCCCUCUUCUCCCCUUGGCAACAACUGAUAUUUUUAUUGUCUCCAUAGUUUUGCCUUUCUAGAAUGUCAUAUGGUGGAAUCACAUUGUGUGUAGCCUCCUCAGAUGGACUUCUUUCACUUAGCGAUGUGCAUUUAAGGUUCCUCCAUGUCUUUUCAUGGCUUGAUAGCUCAUUUCUUUUUAGUGCUGAAUUCUUGUUUUUCUUAUCUCUGGUAACAUAGUAACUACAAAAUUCAAGCUGCUGCAGUUUGAACUUCCAUAUUAUGUCCAACCUUACACAGAGAAACUUCAUUCAUUAAUUUCAGCUGACCAGGCUUCUAAGUUCUAUAGAGUUCACCAUUCAGUCUCAAGGAAAUUAAAAUCUUCUCUAGCUGGUUUUAUUAGAGUUCAGAUCUUUGUUAUGACCUCUCCAUUCAUGUGACACCCCAGAGACUUGUUCUCCCCACUUUCCCCACCUUUCAUGCAGAAACCCCUGAACCUCUCUUUUCUAGGCUUUCAGUAGCUUCAAGCCCUCACAUACUGUAUUUAUUCAGCACUUCCUUUUUACUGAUCAAUAGAUUACAUCAUUGCCCAUUUUUUCAUUUCUUUCUUUCUUGUUCCGGUUCUUAACAUUGUGCCAAAUUUCUGCUUCAGACCUUAGAGACUCCAUGAUUCUAAUUCUAUGGGAUUUUAUUUUCUUCUAGUCAACUUGCACAAGAUAGAGGUCUCUAUUCAAAAUAACCAUAGGUGCUUGAGAUUGCUACAAGUAGAUGUAAGCACAAAUAGGAGUGCAGUUACCCAUACUAGGGUCAAAUGACAGAAAAGAACAUGAUCUUUUCUUUCAGGACCAGGUAUACUUAUGAGUCAUUAAACAGAUUCUAGAAUCUUCCUGAUUGUGUUUACUGUUAGAGCCACCCUAAGAAUUCUGAUAAAGGUGAUUUAAAACAUUUAUUAUUCUUGGCUCCCUGAUUGAGAAGACUUAUCUCAAAAUAAGUCUCCAAAAUAUUAAUGCAACCAUAAAUGAGGAACCCAAAUAUAGCUACUAUCAUUCCCGGAGCUCUAACUUUAAUGAAUUAAUGACUGAUGUAAGGAUAGAUUCUCAUCACAAAGCAUAGUUCAUAACUGCUUAAGUUGAGUUUAUAGUCUGUUGAUUGGCUGACGGAAGUUAGUUCAAAGUAAUUAUAUACAGACAAUUUGCAACUGCAAAAAUAAAAUAAAUGUGAAAAAGUAAGCCUCUGGUACAAUUCAGUGAAUCUUAUAGUAAAAGUAAAAAGCUAAAACUUCUAUGUCUAUUUAACGUUUCCAUGAUUUUCUUUGCAAAAGAAGAUAAGCCAGUUUUAGUAUUCUUCUAAAUAGAAGAACCAACUUCUAGAGUUCCUAAAAUGUCUCUGACCAUUUCUGACCUAUUCCUCUUCCCAAGAGGCAUAAAUUAAAUCAACUAUAAAAAGAAAACUCAUUCAUUAUCCAACCAGCAUUUGUUUCUUGGCUAUAAACCAGGAAACACAUUCAAUAUAAGCAAUUAAGGAAAAAUCACUCUUCUCUUAAGACGCUUAAAGUCCAGUAGGUAGACAGAUAUACAAAAGUUAUUACAGUAAAGUAUGUGAAAAAAUUCAAUAUUUGAAAUGCCCACAAAAUACUACAAAGGAGCAUAAAGGAACAACUAAUUCUGAGAUAGCAAGGAAGGCUUCACAGAGAAAUUCACAUUGUGGUUCAUCAGAUUAAGAAGGUGACAGAGGUGACAGGAGAAACAGAUAUCUGUGUUCCACACUUUGUUCACACACUUGUACACAGAGUUUAUUGAAACAACUUAUUGAAUGUGUCAGUAAUUAAAAGACUGUUCAUUGUUAGGUGCAUAGUUGGUAGAUUUGUAUUGUGAAAAUAUGCUCUCUGGGUGUGUGAUCAGAUUGCAGAGUUUGCACACAAAUUUCUAGACCAGAGUGAGUAGCUGUUAUACACAUCCUAGAAGGUUAGUGUUGGUCAGGGCCUCAGUGAUCCUCAUAUCUAAGCCUUCUAUUUACCAAGGCAGUAACUGAGUAUCAGAGAGCGGGGUAUCUUGUCCAGUAAUAACUUAUUAGUAAUAACAAACCACAUAGAAAUUCUACAAAUAGUAACUAAUGACACUAUUUACUGUAUUAAGUUGACAAAAUGCAUGUCCCUUUGGGGGAAUCAGCAAAAAUAUGCUUUUAAAAGCUGCUCCUCAGAUACAAAAUAAGGUUUGCUUUGUUAUAAAUCCAUUUUGUUCUUUUACAAGCACUCCUCAACUAUAAGUGUUCAAAAUUAUUCAUCUAACUUGAAUCUGUUUUUAUGUUCUUUGGUAAAAAGCAGCAAUUAAAUAACAAUUAUGUUAUCCUAUUUCCAAUAGGAAAAUGUAUUAGAAAGUUUCUUUAACCAAAAUUUGGUUGCGAGUUAGGAAAUGAAAGAUUUGAAACUCUAAAUUCUAAGCUGAUUCUUCCAGAAAUGUGGCUGCUUCCAAAAAUAGCCUUCCCCUAUUUUGUUUUCUUAGUGCCACGACACAGUAAUGAUUUAUCUAGUAUUCUUUCUUGAAAGGUAAAUUAUUAUUGAUUAAAAUAUGAGUGAGAGAGAGAGAGAAGCAACUUUCUUCUGAAUAAGUGGGAAUAUCUGGGACACCACAUGUCAUAUACAGUUUAGGGGGAGUAGAUCCCAGGAAUCCUAUCUGGAUAUAAAAGAUAGAAGUUUCUACUCUGUGUCAUGAGGAUAGAAAGUUCAGGACUGAAACCAGAUUCUUAAGAAGCCAAAAGAAAGUCAAGUAGAUAAAUUGAAGCAUUACAGGAGCAAGACAAAGAGGCAGAACCACUGCUGUGGGGGAAAAGGCAAACGCAGCAGCCAAGAACUAGUGAUAUUCAAGAACUAGUGAUAUGAAGUCAAGCAAGCUAAAUCUCAUCCCCAGUGGUUUAUAAAGUUUACUUUGAACUUUGACUAUUGACAGAGAGGAAGAUGUUAGGGUAGAAUAGAUUAUGACAAAAUGCUUGGUGCUGACAAUACAAACUAGAGAGAGCUUUGAAACCUUUUAGUAUAGAUGAGAUUUCUGUAAGAAGGAAUGUUUAGAAGCAUCAGGAUUUGGGAUAUUUCACUUGAUAAGGAAAACGACCCCCCAUAAUUCUUCAGCUUAAGAACAGUAAAAUGCAAUCUUAGUAUUAAUGUUUUAAUGUAGAGAAAUAACUGCCAUGAUACAUAAUCUAUGGAAUUCCAGGAGAUAAAUUAAAACAGAACUUUGUGUGUGAAGUAAGCACUCAGGAAGUGAUGACUAAACUAGUAACCCAGGUACCAGAGCCAGAAGAGGUACAUUCAAUAUUUAGAGUGAGCAGCUACUAAAAUAAGACUUUUACAUGGAUAAGUAUCACAGCAAAACGAAUAGAGGUCUUGGAUGUGGAAAGACUGCUAAGGUGUGAGGGGAAAUAAAGGAAUUUUUCUGAGCAUAUUAAAGUAAGGAAAUUACUUAGCUUCCUAAGGAUAAAACAGUAAUUUUAUAAGUAUUUUGUAAAAAGAAUUCUAAGUCAAUAACAAAAUAUAUUUAAGAUAUAUAAGGUGGGGGGCAUGCUGAUAAUUCUGGUGUAUAAGGCACUUUAGGGAUGAAGAGAAGAUCAUCAAGAAAACUAAGUGGUUUCAUUAUUACAGACUUCACUACAGUUCUUAGCUUCCCACACCUAAUUUAUUUGAAGCAAAUAGGUCAGAGGGAUUAGAGACGCCAGCAAUAUUCUCCCAGGGAUUUUCCAGAUCUCUUGAGAUCCUAUACAUGUGAAAAAAAUAACCAAAAUAAAUAAAUAAAUAAACAAAUAACCAUUCAACUUAGAUGCGUUCCCUGAAGUUGGAAGAGUGAUGCCACAGAAAUGAUGGAUAAAAUGUAUAAUUUAUGGAUUCAGAUGCUACCAUGCCCAACACUACUAGUGCUAUCUGCAUAACAAAAGCAAAACCUCUUCUUAAGUUUUAUCACUAAUUUAUCUAUGAAGAUAAAAGGUACCCAGGAAAUUAUCAUAUGCUUAUGAGUGGAACAAGGGGUAUGAACUCAGAAUCUGGUGGUAUGUCCCUUUGAGGUUUUAUAAAUUCUUUCGCCAGCAGUUCUUGCUAGAAUGGUAAUAUGAAUGGAUUAAGGAGGCAAGGAACAUAAUACAUGCCCACUUUGCAGUGUUCCCCAGAAUCUCUUUCAGUUAGUUUCUUUGUUGUCUUACCAAAGGCAUUUUAUCCUGGCACCGCUUUUUUACGAGUUUGAUGAUGUGAUGCCCAGGUGAUUUUCCCACAAAAGGAUGAUUAGAACUGAAGUCUUAAUCCAUUGGAGAAAUAUUUUUGUUGUACAUUUGUAGAUAUAACCACAUGUCUUUGCCGUCUCAAUGAAUGCCUCUUUCUGUCUAUAUCUUAGAAUUAUCUAAGUGAUUCCAUAGCUACACCCACAGUUAUAUUAAAGGUUUGCCUUAAAUGUCUUGCUUUGUGCAAAUCUGAUUGAAAAGUAGAUUCUGAUGCAAAACAUUUUCAAGUAUUUAUAGCAAAAUUUGGAUUUUCUUUUUCCUUAAUUGUAUAUGUUGAUCUCUUUUCAGAUGGGGUCAUAUGAAGUAAAUUGAGUUAAAAUGACUAUGGGUUAUGUUUUUUUUUCCUAUGAAAGCCAGCCAUCUAGAAUUUGAAAAGACAUUCUCUGUGGUUCAUGAUGGGGAGGGGUGGACAUAAUGUGGUGGGACAUCUAGGAUCUGUUUUAGUUUAUGGUGUCACCUUAACUUUGACUAUAUAUGAUUUUUUUUUUAGUUUGAACCACAACCCUAACAUUAUUAAAAUGUGUCUUUUGUAUUUCAUUAAGAGAUAAGCAAUUAGGUUUGCAUUUCUGAUGCACCAUAAUUGUAAUAGUGUGACAUUGUUCUGAUGAUAAUGUUCAUUGAUCAUUCAUAAUGCAACUACUCACACCAUGAAUCAAGCAUAAAUCAACACCUUUUUUAUUUUACAUGCAGUAAAGCACUUUAUUUUCAGAUUGAUAAUUUGCACUUACAGUUUAAUCUUCAGCUGUCAGUUUUUUGCUUUAAUUUGCAUAUGCUUUUCUUAUCACAGAUCUUUAAACCCUUAUGAAAAGUGUUUUAUAAAUAAACCAAAAUCUAUGGCAAGAGAAGAACAGGGAAAGGUUUUAGUAUUAUUAGUAAAGAAGUCUGUUUAAUUGCUGAGUUUAAAAAAAUGACAUUCAGGAGUUCCCGUCGUGGCUUAGAGGUGAGUGAAUCUGACUAAGGUUGUGGGUUCGAUCCCUGGCCUCACUCAGUGGGUUAAGGAUCCAGCAUUGCCAUGAGCUGUGGUGUGGAUCACAGACAUGGCUCAGAUCUGGAAUUGCUGUGGCUGUGGUGUAGGCCAGAGGCUACAGCUCCUAUUAGAC